rnacentral:rRNA from 1 species
GCAUCACACACACAAGUGCGGGGGAGCACAGAAAGCUUGUUCUUGGGUGACGAGUGGCGGACGGGUGAGUAAUGUCUGGGGAUCUGCCCGAUAGAGGGGGAUAACCACUGGAAACGGUGGCUAAUACCGCAUAACGUCGCAAGACCAAAGAGGGGGACCUUCGGGCCUCUCACUAUCGGAUGAACCCAGAUGGGAUUAGCUAGUAGGCGGGGUAAUGGCCCACCUAGGCGACGAUCCCUAGCUGGUCUGAGAGGAUGACCAGCCACACUGGAACUGAGACACGGUCC